CAAAUAGCCGGCGCAAAGAGGCGCCGGCGAAGACAACCAAUCUAGACCGUGAAGAGCCGUGCAGGGAGUCGGCUAAACGGUGACGCGUUGCGUCAGAAGGACCGGGAUGGUGGUUAGAAAUUGCAAGCCCUGCAACCAGUGUGGACGGAUUCUAGCAGGCUCUAAUAGAUGGUCAACACUAUAGAAUGUCAAAUUUAUAACUAUUUGUAA
rnacentral:sRNA from 1 species